rnacentral:rRNA from 1 species
CCUACGGGGGGCAGCAGUGGGGAAUAUUGGACAAUGGGCGAAAGCCUGAUCCAGCCAUGCCGCGUGUGUGAAGAAGGCCUUCGGGUUGUAAAGCACUUUCAGUGGGGAAGAAAGCCUUGGGGCUAAUACCCUCGAGGAAGGACAUCACCCACAGAAGAAGCACCGGCUAACUCCGUGCCAGCAGCCGCGGUAAUACGGAGGGUGCGAGCGUUAAUCGGAAUUACUGGGCGUAAAGCGCGCGUAGGCGGUCUGAUAAGCCGGUUGUGAAAGCCCCGGGCUCAACCUGGGAACGGCAUCCGGAACUGUCAGGCUAGAGUGCAGGAGAGGAAGGUAGAAUUCCCGGUGUAGCGGUGAAAUGCGUAGAGAUCGGGAGGAAUACCAGUGGCGAAGGCGGCCUUCUGGACUGACACUGACGCUGAGGUGCGAAAGCGUGGGUAGCAAACAGGAUUAGAUACCCGUGUAGU